UACAGAGGGGGCAAGCGUUGUUCGGAAUUACUGGGCGUAAAGGGCGCGUAGGCGGCCUUCUAAGUCGAACGUGAAAUCCCUGGGCUCAACCCAGGAACUGCGUCCGAUACUGGAAGGCUUGAAUCCGGGAGAGGGGAUGCGGAAUUCCAGGUGUAGCGGUGAAAUGCGUAGAUAUCUGGAGGAACACCGGUGGCGAAGGCGGCAUCCUGGACCGGUAUUGACGCUGAGGCGCGAAAGCCAGGGGAGCAAACGGG
rnacentral:rRNA from 1 species